rnacentral:rRNA from 1 species
AUUGAACGCUGGCGGCAGGCCUAACACAUGCAAGUCGAGCGGAUGAAGGGAGCUUGCUCCUGGAUUCAGCGGCGGACGGGUGAGUAAUGCCUAGGAAUCUGCCUGGUAGUGGGGGAUAACGUCCGGAAACGGGCGCUAAUACCGCGUACGUCCUGAGGGAGAAAGUGGGGGAUCUUCGAACCUCACGCUAUCAGAUGAGCCUAGGUCGGAUUAGCUAGUUGGUGGGGUAAAGGCCUACCAAGGCGACGAUCCGUAACUGGUCUGAGAGGAUGAUCAGUCACACUGGAACUGAGACACGGUCCAGACUCCGACGGGAGGCAGCAGUGGGGAAUAUUGGACAAUGGGCGAAAGCCUGAUCCAGCAAUGCCGCGUGUGUGAAGAAGGUCUUCGGAUUGUAAAGCACUUUAAGUUGGGAGGAAGGGAAGUAAGUUAAUACCUUGCUGUUUUGACGUUACCAACAGAAUAAGCACCGGCUAACUUCGUG